GAAACAAAAGCUGCUGCCUUCAGUCUCUUCUGGACUUUCUGUGUAGCUACACCAAGCCUUCAGAGAUACCCACUCUGCAUUCUAGAUCAAGGCUGCAAGGGGUUUCUGUGCCACUAAAAGAACUUGAGAGGCACCUAAUGUGGCUUUACCUGUGCCUUUAUUUGUUCUUGCCACUGGCACCAUAUGUGCCAGCCCACAACAAACAAUGGCCUUAUCAGGAUGCUGCAAGAUGAUCCUCCCUCCAGGUGGCUUCACAGCAAAUGAACAAAGAAGCCGUUUAUUUAUUGAUGCUUCACCAGCAACAUUCAGGUUGGCUAUGAGGGGAUGUCUAUGACUGACAAGGAAGCUUCUGGUUUCAGUGGAGAACAGCUGAUCCUGAAAUACGUCAUCAUUUUGAAACCCUGUGCGUUGACUGGGCCAGUGGCCAAUGAUCUCAGAGAGAAGGGAGAUACACAGAUAUUAGCCAUAAAGUACAGGAUCACCAUGCUACAAACCACAAGCACAGAAAGCCAAGUAACAAAGAG